UUUUGAACUCGGUAGGUUGUUGAGCCUUUGUGUGCUUUGAUAUCUCCAUCUAUGAGCUAGAGAUAACAGUUGGCUUCAUGCAGGGAUUAAUUAUUGUGUCUUGUAGUCACGUAUUUGUUUAUUUGUUUUUACUAUAGAUUACAGCUGGAGGAAUUCUAAACAGUCCACCUCUCCUUGUCGUGGUGUUUAAGUGUAUUGUGCUCCUGUCUGAACAGAGGAAAUCACUGAGACCUCUAACCCAAAGUCUACUAUCAAGCUGUCUCGAGAGAGAGAAGUCUUUAAAGAGACCAGCUUUGUACCUAUAAAUAAU
rnacentral:lncRNA from 1 species